UCACUUACCUGCAGGGGAGAUGUCAUAAUUAUGAGGGUGAUUUUCUGGGGAUGAAGCUCAUCUGUUGCACUCUGGGUGUGCUGUCUCCUGUGGUUCUUCAAAUGUGGAAAACUUGACUGUAUAAUUUGUGGUAGUGGCGAGCUAUGCUCACACUUUUCCCCC
ensembl:snRNA U1 U1 spliceosomal RNA